AAUAAGUUUGAUUCUUGCUUAUUUAUUAAUUUAUUAAAUGAUUUAUAUGUUAUUUUAUUAAUAAUUUAAUUUUACAGUAAAUGUAAUUGUUAAUUAUUAAUUAUUGUUAAUUACCAGUAAUUUAAUUAUAAUGGAUAAAUUUUGUGCCAGCAUUCGCGGUUAUACAAUUCAUUAAAAUUAAUAUUUUAUUUUUUGUAAUUAUUUUUAUUUUGAUUAUAUAGCUAAUUUUAUUUAGGUGGAAUUUGUAAGAUUUAUAUUAAUCUUUAUUAAAUCUUAUUAAAUCAUAAUUAUAAACUAGGAUUAGAUACCCUAUUAUUAUUGAACUUAAAUUAUUUGAUGAAUAUUAAUAGCUAUGUCCUAUUAAACUCAAAGAAUUUGGCGGUGGAUUAUAUCUGUUUAGAGGAAUCUGUGCUUUAAUUGAUAAACCACGAUAUUUUUAACCUUUAUAUCAUUUGUAUACCUCUAUAAUUAAGAGUGUUAUUAAAAUACAUUUUCUUUCAUUUUAUUAAUUUAUAUUAGGUCAAGGUGCAGUUUUAUAUAGGUAAGUGUGGAUUACUUUAAUAAUAAAUUUACUUAAGUGAUUCAAUCUAUUUGAGAUUGUAAUUUAAAUAGGAUUUAAUAGUAAUUUUAUUUAAUUAUUUAUUUUGAAUUUAGUUUUGAUUUAUGUACAUAUCGCCCGUCACUCUCUUUAAAAUGGGAUAAGUCGUAACAAAGUAGGUGUACCGGAAGGUGUAGCUAGAAAGU
rnacentral:ncRNA from 1 species